AGGGAGGGGGCGGUCGUAUCUGCAGUCGAGCAAGGUAUCUUAACCGGAGCUUGCUCCACCGAAGUGCAGGAGUGGCUAACGGUUGAGUAACACGUGGGAAACCUGCCGAUCAUAAGGGGAUAACACUUGGAAACAUAAGCUAAUACCGUAUAACAAUCGAAACCGCAUGGUUUUGAUUUGAAAGGCGCUUUCGGGUGUCGCUGAUGGAUGGACCCGCGGUGCAUUAGCUAGUUGGUGAGGUAACGGCUCACCAUGGCCACGAUGCAUAGCCGACCUGAUAGGGUGAUCGGCCACAUUGGGACUGAGACACGGCCCAAACUCCUACGGGAGGCAGCAGUAGGGAAUCUUCGGCAAUGGACGAAAGUCUGACCGAGCAACGCCUCGUGAGUGAAUAAGGUUUUCGGAUCGUAAAACUCUGUUGUUAGAGAAGAACAAGGAUGAGAGUAACUGUUCAUCCCUUGACGGUAUCUAACCAGAAAGCCACGGCUAACUACGUGCCAGCAGCCGCGGUAAUACGUAGGUGGCAAGCGUUGUCCGGAUUUAUUGGGCGUAAAGCGAGCGCAGGCGGUUUCUUACGUCUGAUGUGAAAGCCCCCGGCUCAACCGGGGAGGGUCUUUGGAAACUGGGAGACUUGAGUGCAGAAGAAGAGAGUGGAAUUCCAUGUGUAGCGGUGAAAUGCGUAGAUAUAUGGAGGAACACCAGUGGACGAAGGCGGCUCUCUGGUCUGUAACUGACGCUGACGCUCGAAAGCGUGGGGAGCAGACAGGACUAGAUACCCUGUCAGUCCACGCCGUAAACGAUGAGUGCUAAGUGUUGGACGGUUACCGCCCUUCAAAGCUGCAGCUAACGCAAUAAGCACUCCACCUGGGGAGUACGACAGAAUGGAUGGAAACUCAAAGGAAUUGACGGGAGCCCGCACAAUCUGUUGCAUGCAUGUGGAUUAAUCCUAAGCCACGCUAAGAAUCCUUAGCAUGGUCUUGACAUACUUUUGACCACUCUAGAAAUAACAGCUCCACUUUCGGGGGCAAAGUGGACAGGCUGGUUCAUGGUUUGUCGUCUCGUUCUUCUCGUCAAAAGGUAGGCUUCAACUCCCGCAACGAGGCGGCCACCCCUUAUUUGGUCAGUUGCCUUCAGAUCAGAUUGGGGCCACUCUACCAUGACUGGACAGGGUGAAGAACACGGGAGGAAGGGUUGGGUGGAUGACUCUCAAUUCAUGCGGUGUCCCCUUUAUUGACUUGGUCUACCAUGAGACCGUAGAUGGGAAACGUACAGACGAGAGAGUCUGACACGAAGGCUCCCACAGAGGGAUGCAUAUGAGC
rnacentral:rRNA from 1 species